UGCGCAGACGGUUGUGUAAGACAGGUGUGAAAUCCCCGGGCUUAACCUGGGAACUGCGCUUGUGACUGCACGACUAGAGUAUGGCAGGAGGGGGGUGGAAUUCCACGUGUAGCAGUGAAAUGCGUAGAGAUGUGGAGGAACACCGAUGGCGAAGGCAGCCCCCUGGGCCAAUACUGACGCUCAUGCACGAAAGCGUGGGGAGCAAACA
rnacentral:rRNA from 1 species